UUUUAUUUAACAUGAUAUAGUGCGAUAGUCUCGGCACAAAGUGACCUUAACUGCUUCCAAAUUCCUUCCUUAUUUUUCCUGUAACAAAUCAUAUGGUGAAGGAAGACCUUCAUCAGGGUCACGUAACUUGGAGGAGCUUCUUGGGGGAAGUGCACAGGCAUCUCUGCGGGCUGUGGAGGAAAAGGCCCCGGAAUUGGCCCCAGUGGGGCUUUUUCCCAAGAGGAUCUGUCCCGUUUCCCUGUUCAUGUGUUGCGUCCUCAGUAGCUGGGACCCCAUUUUCUCUGUCGUAUCCCACCCCCAACACCUGACCAACUCAAAUCAGCACAUAUAUUUUAAACAGGUAGUGGAUAUCCAACACUGUGUCAGGGCAUGGAGAAAAUGGAAAAGAAACCAAAAUUGUGGUCCUAGUGCUGAGACACAGGUAAUCUCAUCAAGCAAUUUGGGCAGAGGCUGAGUUACCUGGAUAUUAUUGCUGGUAUCUGAAUUUCUUAAUAUAAGUUCCAGAAAGCCUGGUAACUUUUAGAAGAGUAUAUGGUAUAGCAAGGAAAGUGAAUCCAUUCAUUCAUGCAGAAAUAACAGACCCUUGCAUUUAUCAACUCCCAGUGUGUGCAGGCCAUGGAGAUGCAAGAGUAAGCCUGAUCUUCAACCUCAGGGAGAGCCACAUCGUUUGGGGAAGGUCAGUAUAUAAAAAAGCAAGGCCACAGUGUGUGAUCAGUGCUCCAGAGGACUGGCCAGCACACAGCAGGAUGAAAAGGAGAGCAGGGACCAGUCUCCUGGCUGUGAAGUGCUGGGAAGGUGGGAUGGAAAGGACCUUAAGGACAAGAUGGUCCUUGGUUGUGCCUCCCAGGAUGAAUGCUAGUCUGGUGGAACAUUCAGAGACCAGAGUGGGAAGUCUGAGAAAGUGGCAGCAUGGUGUGCCCAGAGAGAACAGGGUAAGGGGACAGGGGAGAGCUGGGGGAGACAGGAGGAGGUGCCAAAUUCCAUAGCUGGAGGAGAAGCUGGAGAUGUAGCCAGAGAUCAAACCAAAGAAGCCCCACUACACCAUGCCAGAGUGUGCUCGUGAUUCGGAAGGAAACAAGGACCCAUCCGAUGGUUCUGAACAGGGAGGGAUACAGCAGUCAGACUUGCAUUUUUAAAAGAUCACUCUGGCAGCGGCAUGAAGGCUGGACUCGGUGGAUGAGAGUCUGCAGGGAAGGACACCAGACGGGAGAGUGUCUCUGCGGUCAGGAUGAGAAAUGAUGAGGCCCAAAGCAGGGCAAUGGCGGUGGGAAGGGAAGGGGAGGCCGUUCUCAUGAGAUGUUCAUUCCAGCAAUUCUGAGCUGACUUCUGUUGAGGAGGUAUCAGCAAGUAGUGAAAGGCAAAGAAGGGUUUCACUUGCUCCAGCUAUGGACUAGGAAUUUCUUCUUAGUACCCCCAGUGAGCAGAAGAACCUUCUUUCACCUGCGAAGUCCCUCCUGAUGGUUGGUUCUGGCAGGCUCCAUCACUUAGGAGCUGGGAAACCUCGGGCAGGUCACUUUACCUCCAAGUGCCCCUUCCCCAUCUGUAAGAUGCAGAUAACUAGUACCUACCUCACAGGGGUUGUGAGCAGUAGUGAGUAAAUAUCUGCAAAGUGCUUUAGUGAGGCCUGACAGGGCAAGCACUUGAUAAAUGCUGGCUGUUUUAUGCCUGGCUCAGUCUCGCUUCUGAUGGCUUGUCCUGCAGAGCUUGCUGGACCUUGCUGGAAAAAUACUUGAAAUUUUGAAAUAUGGCUUUUGUCACAUAUGCAAUAUCCACAUAAUGGAAGUGCCUACCAGCCAGAAACCAGGCAACUAUCACACCUCAGUCCCCACCAGCUCACCAUCACAGGUUCCC
rnacentral:lncRNA from 1 species